AGCGAACGCUGGCGGCAGGCUUAACACAUGCAAGUCGAGCGGGCGUAGCAAUACGUCAGCGGCAGACGGGUGAGUAACACGUGGGAACGUACCUUUUGGUUCGGAACAACACAGGGAAACUUGUGCUAAUACCGAAUAAGCCCUUACGGGGAAAGGAUUAUCGCCGAAAGAUCGGCCCGCGUCUGAUUAGCUUGUUGGUGAGGUAACGGCUCACCAAGGCGACGAUCAGUAGCUGGUCNGAGAGGAUGAUCAGCCACACUGGGACUGAGACACGGCCCAGACUCCUACGGGAGGCAGCAGGUGGGGAAUAUUGGACAAUGGGGGCAACCCUGAUCCAGCCAUGCCGCGUGAGUGAUGAAGGCCC
rnacentral:rRNA from 1 species